UACGGAGGGUGCGAGCGUUGUCCGGAAUCACUGGGCGUAAAGGGCGCGUAGGCGGCCCGUCAAGCGUGUGGUGAAAGCCCGGGGCUCAACCCCGGGUCGGCCGUGCGGACUGGCGGGCUCGAGCACUGUAGGGGCGGGUGGAAUUCCGGGUGUAGCGGUGGAAUGCGUAGAGAUCCGGAAGAACACCGGUGGCGAAGGCGGUCUGCUGGGCAGUUGCUGACACUGAGGCGCGACUGCGUGGGGAGCAAACAGG
rnacentral:rRNA from 1 species